CAGAGGGAAUGCUUGCUUUCUCCUGCCCUCUUGUCUUGUGACACUGACACUUCCCUUUGUGUUUUUCAGAGGCUUUCUGGAGUCUGCUUUUUGUUUGCUCUAUCAGUUUGCCCAAACAAAAAAAACAGCUACUGCUGAAAAUAGCAGAACCAACAUGUAAGUGAUGGCAGAAGUUUGGGAAACUUAGCAAAUGCAGCACUUUGGACUAGAAUACCUCCCAUGCACGAGAAGGAAAAAGACCUAGUUGUGUGGACAGCACCCUAUGCAGACAGUGCUUUCUAAACAUGUGUGGACAAAGGAAUUGUAUACAAACCUGCAAGAAUUCAUAUAUUGACAGAAUUGCUAAAAUCUGAAGUCUCUCAGGAAUGGAUAAAUUCCUGUUUCCGUUUUCUCUCUUGCUGAGACCAGUCUAGGAAAAAUCCCAGAAGAAGUCAUUGUUGGAGUUAGAUGCUAGCUUCACAGUCUGUGAGAUGUCCAACAGGUAAAAACAUCAAAGCAGGCACAGCUUAUAACCAUACUUGGAGAGUCCUAAUGUUGGUCCUUGCCUUGACUCAACUGAAAAGCUUCCAUUUUAUGUAACUCUUUUCUGCUUUCAGAGUCCUUCAAGCUACGUGUUGCAGGCUGUAGGAGUUGGCUUUCGCACCCAUAGCUGGUAGCCAGCUGGCCAGUCUAUGGGCUCCCUCUAUAGUCAAUAGAUAGAGGUAAGCCUGAUGAUGCUGUCUACAUCCUCUGCUAAAGAAGAAGAGACCUGUGCUACGGAGGUAAAGAUCAGUUCUGCUGAUGAACCACAACAGAUGCAGGAACAGAUUUAGAGUCACUACGAAAACUGCACCCUGCUUACGCCUCUGAACACGGUACAUGUUCCACAUCAUGUUACAGAAGUGAUGCUGCAAAGGCCAUCCUCCUCUUCCACUAUGUCCUCAUAGCCAUGCACACUGUUCUGAAGAGACAUCAUGUUUUAGAAGAGUUGGGAAGAUCCAUAAAAGCAAAACACUGGUUGCUAUUGAUGGCAUGUGAAAGUUGCACUGUCAGCCACUCAGGAGUCUCAGUACUGCCACACAGCUUUGGGGCGUUUCAUAAAGCCCAGGGGAAGACUUGACAACUGAGAUAUAAGUUAACCAUGAGAUCAACAUAUUUUUAAGAUAUUCUGAGUUGCAGAGAACAGGAAGAACUUUACUAGGAAAUAUCUACACAAUUUGCCCUUCAUGUGAACCUCUUGGGUACACACAUCAAAAAGCCUUGGUCAGUCUGCAGGAGCCAUCAUCCAGCAGAGGGACUCUUACUUCACAGGUGUGCAGGACCAGGAUUUAUUUAAUGUAUGCCAUCCAGAUACUUCUCAGAUUGCAAUUUCUUCUUUUUUUUUUCCUCUCAUAAUCAUGUCUGUAGUUUGAUUAGCGUAAAACGUGAUUUCUUCACAGAUACUACGGUGUUGUUCUCACUGCAUUUAUGAGAUGAAUCUAUAUAGUUAUAACCACUAUGCAACAAGGAAGCUGAAGUGCCAAGAUUAUUAAUAACAGCAUCAAGCAUACGCUUGUUCUAGGAACCUGGUUUAUGAAUUAUUUUCCUCCAAAGCAAUGCAUGAUGGUGGAGAACAAUUCCCAUGUGUUGUAGCUGCACCCUUGUACUUCUGGUUCUUGGUCUUCACCUUGGGCCCUGGAACAUGACUGAACAAAACCUCAGAGGCCACCUAUGAAAAGCUAAGUUUACAUGUAAAGGAAAGGUGCUUAAUUUACUUGGUAAGCAGUAGACAUCAAGGAUAGAUUGGAUAAAUUCAGGUCUGUGUACCUACAUCCCUUGGUGGAUUUUGUGCCGGCCUUAUGACAUGCUUGCAGAUUCCAGUAGUAUUUCUAGCACUAGACUAGGCAUCUCUGAAAUGUGAGUCUUACAGGAUUUUCCUUCAUGGCUAUCUGCAGGGCUCCUCAAUGAAACUGACUCCUAAAGACACAACCAGCCCCAAAUACUUUUCAGUCUGCUCAGAGACUGGCCCUACACUCCUGUGCAGCUAUCUGGUAGAGUCUCCUUACCUUCUAUGAAUACCACCCAUAGAGAGGGAGUUCAGCAGUCUGAAGCCAACCUGCUAGCCAUGUUACAGCAAUUUAAGGACAUACUCAAUCUGUCCCUAAUCAGCUCCCAAGAGCUUUUACUCACAGGACAGAGAUACCAUUUCCUUUGUAGCUUCUGUAGAUAACAGAAAAACACUGGACUUAGGUAAGUCAGCAAAAUGUCCUUUGAUACAGUCCAUGGCAAACUAACCACACCACAGAAUCUGUGAUACCGCAGACUGUGCGGUUCUCUAUCCCCACCAACUGGGGAUCGCUGUGGUGUCUUCGGUACUACAGUGUGGUAAAUUUUAUUGUAUUCUCUGUCUCUCUUUUUGUAAUGUAGUACUAAUUGCUGUCUCAUAACAGGAAAGGAAUAGCUAGUUUACAUCUUGGUCCACAAAUGAGAAAUCUUACACCUGCACUGUUAGCUGCAGACAAGCUCUCUGUGCCACUGUGCAAAACAAUGUCAUUGUUAGCAAGUGUGAUGUGAAGCCACAUCCCUCUCUAUUUGUCGUGCUCUCAGGUCACAUUGCAGUAAUUGUUUUAUGCAGGUAUAUUUAGUGCCUGCAAACCAGUUUGCUGUCCUUCUUGGAAGAGAUUAAAUGUUAAGAUGAAAGCAAGUGAUAAAAAGUGAUAAAAAGUGAUAAAAGUGAUAAAAAUAACUUCAACUGAAAAGCCAGCUCAUCAAGAGAAUUCAAUGGAAAGGUGUUUUUUAUGCCUAGGCUGUACUAAAAUAUGUUAGGAUAAAGUCUUAAGUAAAGCUUUAAGUGGAUCUCAGCUAAAAAGUUUCUUUGCAUUGCCUGACGUGCAGUUGGAUUCACCUGGAAUCUCAAAACCAAACAAUCCCCCAAAUGUUUCUUUGGGGAAUUAACAUCUUACAGGGAUGCUCCAUUUUAUAAGACUUAAAGUCUCAACGCAUUUUCAAUCCUACUAGCACUUGUCCUCAAAUACUGGUGAAGUUUACUGUCUGCUACAGUUUUUCACACUGAUGAGGGACCAUUUCUUAUCUCCUUCUUCCUGUGUUAAAUGCAUUAAAUAUUCAAUACCCACAGAGUGCUCACCACUGACACUUCCAGCUACCAUCCAGUGCUCUCCCCUCACCCAGUUCACUGAAGAGACGGUCGGGUAGGUCUGGGCCCCGCAAACCUCUGUUCAUUCACUGAAACAGGGAAGUCAGUCCUGAAAUGUGUCUUAACAUUGUCUGAGAAAAAAGCCUAGAAAAAUCAGUGCCUGAGGCACUGGACAUCGGCUGCAACCAGGAAAAGCUGUUGUAUGAGUGCUGUAACAAGUGAAAGCAGUUUAUCACCUAGCUUGAGAAACAGUGUGAAGGAGAAGAGGAUGCCUUACAAGAAGGGAAGACGUACUGACAAGCAUUGGAGCCCCACUGUGUGGGUGAGAGAGGACACCUGACUGUCUCCUCCAGCUCGAAAGAAGGAAAGGACCUAGUGGCAGAGAGAGAGAGAAGACAAGAAGCUGGGCCUGGAAGUUAUUUAAGGGUCACCAGAGUUUGAGAAGGCCUCUGAGAUUUUCAUGUUCCCAACUGAAAGUUGAAGGCAGGCAAGCUUAAGAAUUUGGUGGUGUUAUGAGUUCAUGUCAGCAGAAAAUUGUAAACCACAGAAAGUUUUGUAUCUCAUCUCUGGGUUAAUUUAUUAAUGCAUUUGGGGUUUGCAUUGAUACAAUAACCACAAAACGUAUUUGGGUUAUAAUGUGUUUCUAAUUAAAAGAGCAACACCCAUACCAGAAAGAAGACUCGGGUGUCAGGUAGCCAAAAUUCUCAUCUAAGAACUACAAGAGGUUACACUGCAUGGCCGCAAAUACACAAUUUCAUUGA